CUCUGACCCACCACCAGGCCUGUGGGAAGAGCAGUGCCCAUCUUCAGGCACUGCUUUGCAGCUACUGGCCCAAUGGGUCCUGCCUUGGGUGUCACUGCUGGUGCCGGUGCCUCAGCUCAGAAACCCUGAGCUCCCCCACAGCUUGGGCUCUACAAUACUCAUCCCCUGGGCUGAGAUCUGCAACAAGCGUAAAAAGGAUAAGGAGGAAAGGCAAUGAAAUCCACAUGGCUAAUCACCUCCUAACUUAAGAAAAGCAUACAGAAAGCAGCAAAUAGGAAAUAGUCCUUUUGUGGAAAACACAGCUAACCCCACUGACAAAACGGGAAGAGAGCCUGCCUCAGAAUAACCUGUUGACAUAUGGAGAAUGAUGGAAACAAAUGCUGCCUGGAUGUAAGCAGAAGGAACAUCUGAAAUGAAUCAUUUGAAAGCUGAGCACACGUUGGAUGAUACAGGCAGCAUGUGACACAAAAACUCUGUGAUGAAUGGAAUUAACUCUCAUUUUGAGAAGUGAAGUAUCUGCUUCAGCCCUGAUCCUUUCUGACAUCUUGAAAUGUCAAACUGAUAUCCAGUGGACUCUUGAACUCUGCUAUCUGCCAAGAAGAAAUUUGGGCCUUCGAGUUUUCAUUCUAGAAUGAAAUCUCUAGAUGUUAUCUAGCUAGAAGUAUAUUAUCCAUCCCCUUGGAAAUCGGGAUAACAGAUUUCGGGAAGGUGUCUGGUGCCAAUUUUGUUAUUAAAAUGUUGAUUAUAACCAUCUGAAUCAUCCACACCAGUUAUAAAUCCUAAAUAUUAGAUAUUCUUUUUCUUUGAGAUUUUAUUUCCACCUGCAUCAUUGCAUGGGCUUGCAGUGCACCAAUUUUCCUGAGCCCUUCUGUAAAAUGAAGAAAUUAUUCCACUCAUGCUUCAACUCUGACUUCAAAAUACCCAGGAACUGUCACACUGCCCAAUUGUUUUGGUAAAGUGUGAAUUGCACUUUUGCAAUGUGUGAUAGUUGAAAAAUUUCCCAAUUGGAUGAGAUUUUCCCCAUCUUAUGUAGCCUUUGGUCCAAUAAAAUAUAUUGUUCCU
ensembl:lncRNA